rnacentral:tRNA from 1 species
GGGUAUAGCUUAGUGGUUAAGUGUGUGCUUAGCAUGCACAAAGUCCUGGGUUCUAUCCCCAGUACUUCCA